rnacentral:lncRNA from 1 species
UCUGGUUCUAGGUCUUUGAGGAAUCACCACACUGUCUUCCACAAUGGUUGUACUAAUUUACAUUUGCUGGUGCUGUUUUCUACAUUGAAUCUGAGGGCUACUGUAUGAUGUGUAAGACACUUUCUGAUUGGAGCCUCACAAUGAUCCUACCAGGUGAUUACAACUGAGCCCAAGUUUUAGAGGAAAAAAAUGCAGACUCAGAGAGAGAAAAGUGAUUUGCCCAAGGUCACAUAGCCAGCUAGUGGCAUUGAACCCUGGCCUUUUGACUUUAAAUCUAUUGCAAAUUCUACCCCAGCAUAGGGUUCUCUUUGGGGUGUGUGUGUGUGUGUGUGUGUGUGUGUGUGUGUGUGUGUGUGUGAAAUGGGGAGAUAAAGAAGCCAACAGUGUUUGCCUUUGCAGAGCAUGCAGUCCAUUUGGAAACAUGCAUGUGGGAAAGUGGGGAGGGACCCUGUCAAGCAUCUAAGAGGAGUGGUGGCAUUUGCUGUGUCCACCUCCAUCCUUCCCACUCACUACUCAGCACCUAUAGCCUUGUCGCUCUCCCCAACACUCUGCUGAGACUGUUGUCACCAAAAACACUAUUGUCCGGCUCCCUGUUGAAAGGACCGACUCUCAGGAGAUGAAGAUCCAAUCACUCUAUCAAAGAAUAUGAGCAUUUCCGAGGCUCUUGUAAGACAUCCAGCCUCCAGAACUGUGAGUACUAUGCUGAAGAGAGCCCUCAUCAGCACCUGACCAACCUGACCAUGCUGCACCCUCAUCUUAGACGUUCAGCCUCCAGAACUGUGAAUACUAUGCUGAAGAGAGCCCUCACCAGCACCUGACCAUGCUGCACCCUCAUCUCAGAUGUCCAGCCUCCAGAACUGUGAGUACUACAUUUCUGUUGCUUAUAAGUGAUCCAUUCUGUGGUAUUUUGUGAGAGCAGCCUGAAUGACUACCUUGUGACUGAAGGUAUACUUCAUAAUAGUGUUCGGGGUCACUGGGAAAUGUGUUCAGAAGAUUUCAGAUGUGCAUCAGCAAUGGUCUUCUUCCAUUUGUCCUGGAAAGAGAUGAAAAUCACAUCACAAAAAUGCUCAUCAGUGUCUACUGGCCCUUUUCCUUACAUAUGCCUGAAACUCCAACCUCUAUGGGUGCCUUUUAGUGCUUGUUUGGGCUGUGACAUAGAGAGAAAUUGAACAAAAUAAAUGUACAGUAUAAUUACAACUACUGUAAAGCAAAGCAAUUUGCAAACAUCAAAAGGAAAUCCUGUGUCCAAACUGCCUACGUCCUAUGGACCACACUGUGGGGCUCUGACAGUAUUCUGUGUGACUGCCAGAAGAUAACUUGACCCUCUUUAGCUAAAGGUAACACCAACCAGAGUCUCUAUGAUCUCUCACACACAAUGCUCAGCAUUUAAUAAGAAAUCAGUAGGCAUGAUGACCCAUUCACCAAAAGCCAAAGAAAAACCAAAGCAGACAACAGAAAUAAUCCCAUAGGAGAAACAGAUAUUGAGUAUUC